rnacentral:rRNA from 1 species
UGAACGCUGGCGGCAGGCCUAACACAUGCAAGUCGAGCGGUAACAGAGAGUAGCUUGCUACUCUGCUGACGAGCGGCGGACGGGUGAGUAAUGCUUGGGAAUGUACCUUAUGGUGGGGGACAACAGUUGGAAACGACUGCUAAUACCGCAUAAUGUCUUCGGACCAAAGCGGGGGACCUUCGGGCCUCGCGCCAUAAGAUCAGCCCAAGUGGGAUUAGCUAGUUGGUGAGGUAAUGGCUCACCAAGGCGACGAUCCCUAGCUGGUUUGAGAGGAUGAUCAGCCACACUGGGACUGAGACACGGCCCAGACUCCUACGGGAGGCAGCAGUGGGGAAUAUUGCACAAUGGGCGCAAGCCUGAUGCAGCCAUGCCGCGUGUGUGAAGAAGGCCUUCGGGUUGUAAAGCACUUUCAGUAAGGAGGAAAGGUUGGAUGUUAAUAGCAUUCAGCUGUGACGUUACUUACAGAAGAAGCACCGGCUAACUCCGUGCC